GAUAUUGCCAUCAUUCAGAAGCGAGAAUGUUGACAUGAGUAGCGACAAACAGGGUGAGAGACCCUGUCGCCGAAAGUCCAAGGGUUCCUGCUUAAAGCUAAUCUGAGCAGGGUGAGCCGACCCCUAAGGCGAGGCCGAAAGGCGUAGUCGAUGGGAACCAGGUUAAUAUUCCUGGGCCAGGAGGAAGUGACGGAUCGCAGAGCUUGUUCGACCUUAUCGGAUUGGUCGGGCCUGUGAGUGGUUCCUGGAAAUAGCCCUCCAUGAGAUCGUACCCUAAACCGACACAGGUGGACUGGUAGAGCAUACCAAGGCGCUUGAGAGAACUACGUUGAAGGAACUCGGCAAAAUACCUCCGUAACUUCGGGAGAAGGAGGCCCCGUUGGCGCGCAAGCGUUGGCGGGGGGCACAAACCAGGGGGUGGCGACUGUUUACUAAAAACACAGGACUCUGCGAAGCCCAAAGGCGACGUAUAGGGUCUGACGCCUGCCCGGUGCCGGAAGGUUAAAAGGAGGGGUGCAAGCUCCGAAUUGAAGCCCCGGUAAACGGCGGCCGUAACGAUAACGGUCCUAAGGUAGCGAAAUUCCUUGUCGGGUAAGUUCCGACCUGCACGAAUGGCGUAACGACUUCCCCGCUGUCUCCAACGUAGACUCAGCGAAAUUGAACUCCCCGUGAAGAUGCGGGGUUCCCGCGGUCAGACGGAAAGACCCCGUGCACCUUUACUACAGCUUCACACUGGCAUCAGGCCAGGCAUGUGCAGGAUAGGUGGCAGGCUUGAAGCGGGGACGCCAGUUCCCGGGGAGCCUCCCUUGAGAUACCACCCUUGCCUUGCCUGAUGUCUAACCGCGGACCGUCAUCCGGUUCCGGGACCCUGUGUGGCGGGUAGUUUGACUGGGGCGGUCGCCUCCCAAAGAGUAACGGAGGCGCGCGAUGGUGGGCUCAGGUUGGUCGGAAAUCAACCGUCGAGUGCAAUGGCAUAAGCCCGCCUGACUGCGAGACUGACAAGUCGAGCAGAGACGAAAGUCGGCCAUAGUGAUCCGGUGGUCCCGCGUGGAAGGGCCAUCGCUCAACGGAUAAAAGGUACGCCGGGGAUAACAGGCUGAUACUGCCCAAGAGUCCAUAUCGACGGCAGUGUUUGGCACCUCGAUGUCGGCUCAUCACAUCCUGGGGCUGGAGAAGGUCCCAAGGGUACGGCUGUUCGCCGUUUAAAGUGGUACGUGAGCUGGGUUUAGAACGUCGUGAGACAGUUCGGUCCCUAUCUGCCGUGGGUGUCGGAGACUUGAGAGGAGUUGCCCCUAGUACGAGAGGACCGGGGUGAACGCACCACUGGUGGACCUGUUGUCGUGCCAACGGCAGUGCAGGGUAGCUAUGUGCGGACAGGAUAACCGCUGAAGGCAUCUAAGCGGGAAGCCCCCCUCGAAACCAGGUCUCCCUUGAGGGCCGUGGAAGACCACCACGUCGAUAGGUCGGAGGUGUAAGUGCAGCAAUGUACUCAGCUGACCGAUACUAAUCGCCCGAAU
rnacentral:rRNA from 1 species